GACGGAGGAUGCAAGUGUUAUCCGGAAUCACUGGGCGUAAAGCGUCUGUAGGUGGUUCGAAAAGUCCACUGUUAAAAAUUGAGGCUUAACUUCAAAGAUGCCGUGGAAACUUUCAAACUAGAGUAUGGUAGGGGUAGAGGGAAUUUCCAGUGGAGCGGUGAAAUGCGUAGAUAUUGGAAAGACCACCGAUGGCGAAGGCAGGUCUCUGGGCCAUUACGUGACACUGAGAAGCGAAAGCAUGGGGAGCGAACGAGG
rnacentral:rRNA from 1 species